rnacentral:rRNA from 1 species
UACAGAGGGUGCAAGCGUUAAUCGGAGUUACUGGGCGUAAAGGGCGCGUAGGCUGAUAUUUUAGUCGGGUGUGAAAUCCCUGGGCUUAACCUAGGAAUUGCAUUCGAUACUGAAUGUCUAGAGUAUGGUAGAGGAAAGUGGAAUUCUCGGUGUAGUGGUAGAAUACGUAGAUAUCGAGAAGAACACCGGUGGCGAAAGCGACUUUCUGGGCCAAUACUGACGCUGAGGCGCGAAAGCGUGGGGAGCAAACAGG